rnacentral:rRNA from 1 species
UACGAAGGGGGCUAGCGUUGUUCGGAAUUACUGGGCGUAAAGCGUGCGCAGGCGGUUUUCCAAGACAGAUGUGAAAUCCCCGGGCUCAACCUGGGAAUGGCAUUUGUGACUGGAAGGCUAGAGUGUGUCAGAGGGGGGUAGAAUUCCACGUGUAGCAGUGAAAUGCGUAGAGAUGUGGAGGAAUACCGAUGGCGAAGGCAGCCCCCUGGGAUAACACUGACGCUCAUGCACGAAAGCGUGGGGAGCAAACAGG